rnacentral:rRNA from 1 species
GAUGAACGCUGGCGGCGUGCUUAAUACAUGCAAGUCGAGCGAACAGAUGAGGCGCUUGCUCCUCUGACGUUUGCGGCAGGCGGGUGUGUAACACGUGGAUAAUCUACCUGUCUGACUGGUAUAUCUACGGGACACCGGAUCUAAUACCGGAUAAUCUCUUGAUCCGCAUGGUGCAAUGGUGAAUGUCGGUUUUUCGGUCACUUCUCGCUGGUUACGGGCCGCAUGAGCUAGUUGGUAAGGUAACGGCCUACCACGGCUAGGCUGCGUGGCCGAGCUGUGAGGGGGAUCGGCGACACUGGAACUGAGACACGGUCCUGACGCCUACGGGAGGGCGCAGUAUGGAAUCUGCCGCAGUAGGCGGAAGCCUGACAGAGCAACGCGGCGUGAGUGACGAAGGUCCUCGGAGCGUAAAACUGUGUUAUUAGUUAAGAACAAAUGUGUAAUUAACUAAGCACUUCUUGACGGUACCGGGUCAGAAAGCCACGGCUAACUACGUG